UCGAAUUGGGCAUUGGGAGUUCAGUUGGUAUUAGGAUUCGGUGCGGAAAACGUUGAAUUUCACGAAACGAUGGACACGGACUGGUAUCAAAUCAUCAUGUUUUUGGUAUUUGCACUGCUGUGGUAUCCUUUGAAGUCUGUCCUGAGGAAGGUUUGCCUGCAGUAAGAUCACAUUCACUCACUACCAUGCGGCUCGACGACACAUUUGGAUGACCCAAUUCGGCCAGGUACACAACGUUCACCCCCUCGCAAUGAGAGAGCAGCUCUUCAACAAAAACCUUGUUCCAAAUAUACAGCGAUUAACAAACGUAGUAAUCCGUUUCCUCGCGGAACACAAAUAAAACCUGCCUUAAGCCUUAA